rnacentral:lncRNA from 1 species
AAUCGUUAGCAUGUUGAUGAUUGAAUUUUGUAAAUGAAUUGACAAAUCAAUAAAGUAUUUUUUGGCAUUAUUCAUCAUUUUACAUCUUCAAAUGAACUCUUAUAUGAUUAAGUCCUUAGGACUUAUUAAUAAUAAAGGAGGAUUUAUCUUCGAGCCCUUAAACUAGUUCGUGACCAAAUGAUAUGUUGUUACAAGGACGACAACAUUAUCGAGAUUAGAUCGUUGUGUGACAUAUAUGUUGGUUAUCCUCUUAACCAAGGAGUGUGGAGACACUGGUAUGCCACACAGGUGAAGUGUAGGAGUACAUUUUACUGAACCUGACCAAUUCCGGAACGCUCUACUAUCAAUAGAUGUUUCGAGUGGAUAUGGGUAUAAGUUUGGCCCUCUAACCUGAGACCGCAACCUAUGACUAGCAAGCAACUCAUUGUACGUUGGUACCGGACUAGCUGAAUUUCUAAUUCAGUGACAGAAGGU